rnacentral:misc_RNA from 1 species
CCUUACUAAACUCCAACAGCAGGACUUCGGGGACUACAGUCUGACAGUGGGCAAUGGCGUGGGGAGUCCAGUCACAUACAUUGUCAGCGUAGUGGCUGGCCACCAGAGACACCUGUACAGUUUCGAUAUCUGGAUAAUGCAACAACGUCGUCAAUAUGGUUGUCGUGGCUGCCUGGGUUCAAUGUUGGACGCACUCAGAUGUUUCUAAUUGAGUAUCUACCGUGGACUGUGUAUAAAUCUUAUAAUGACAGGGGCGAGAUGAUGGUGUUAGAAGUGACGGGGCUUUUACCUGGAGAGACUUACAUAUUCCGACUACAAGCUAGAAAUGACUACGGGGAUUCUGAUGGAAAUGUAUUGGUAGAAGCUGGGACUGCUGGUGAUCCACCAGACCAGGAAAAGCUCGAAGCUUCAUGUAUCAGUACAGGGGUAUUAGCAGGAGCGACAGUAGGAGGCAUUCUUUUUACGCUGCUCAUUGGAGGGAUUGUUCUAAUUGUGCUGUACCGAAAGGGGUACAGAGUUACAAACAUUCUUAAAGGAGCUGCACAAAAAAGCUCUAGCUAUCCUGAACCUGUGGAAAUGGACAACAGAGGAUAUUCAUCUCUAGAUCUGAUCACGGCUCCAGCGCAGUAUUUAAAUGUGGAGGAGGAAUCAGAAAAACAACAGUACACACAGUUGAAGAUUUAUGACAACACAAAAGAGACAUGACCAAUCCGACCAGUUUUUUCAUGGAAACUUUGCAUGCGGGUUUGAUGAUGUAUGUUAUCGGAAUUGUCAUCACUGGUGUACAGUCCCAGCUGGCCAGGCCUGUGUUAGUGAGGGAGUCUGAGACAGCCAGCUUCAGGUGG